rnacentral:tRNA from 1 species
GCUGGCGUGGCUCAGAGGUAGAGCACUUCCUUGGUAAGGAAGGGGUCACGGGUUCAAUUCCCGUCGCCAGCU